rnacentral:rRNA from 2 species
AAAUCCGGUUCACUUUAACACUGAGGCGUGACGACGAGGCACUACGGUGCUGAAGCAACAAAUGCCCUGCUUCCAGGAAAAGCCUCUAAGCAUCAGGUAACAUCAAAUCGUACCCCAAACCGACACAGGUGGUCAGGUAGAGAAUACCAAGGCGCUUGAGAGAACUCGGGUGAAGGAACUAGGCAAAAUGGUGCCGUAACUUCGGGAGAAGGCACGCUGACACGUAGGUGAAGUGAUUUACUCAUGGAGCUGAAGUCAGUCGAAGAUACCAGCUGGCUGCAACUGUUUAUUAAAAACACAGCACUGUGCAAACACGAAAGUGGACGUAUACGGUGUGACGCCUGCCCGGUGCCGGAAGGUUAAUUGAUGGGGUCAGCGCAAGCGAAGCUCCUGAUCGAAGCCCCGGUAAACGGCGGCCGUAACUAUAACGGUCCUAAGGUAGCGAAAUUCCUUGUCGGGUAAGUUCCGACCUGCACGAAUGGCGUAAUGAUGGCCAGGCUGUCUCCACCCGAGACUCAGUGAAAUUGAACUCGCUGUGAAGAUGCAGUGUACCCGCGGCAAGACGGAAAGACCCCGUGAACCUUUACUAUAGCUUGACACUGAACAUUGAGCCUUGAUGUGUAGGAUAGGUGGGAGGCUUUGAAGUGUGGACGCCAGUCUGCAUGGAGCCGACCUUGAAAUACCACCCUUUAAUGUUUGAUGUUCUAACGUGGACCCGUUACCCGGGUUGCGGACAGUGUCUGGUGGGUAGUUUGACUGGGGCGGUCUCCUCCUAAAGAGUAACGGAGGAGCACGAAGGUUGGCUAAUCCUGGUCGGACAUCAGGAGGUUAGUGCAAUGGCAUAAGCCAGCUUGACUGCGAGCGUGACGGCGCGAGCAGGUGCGAAAGCAGGUCAUAGUGAUCCGGUGGUUCUGAAUGGAAGGGCCAUCGCUCAACGGAUAAAAGGUACUCCGGGGAUAACAGGCUGAUACCGCCCAAGAGUUCAUAUCGACGGCGGUGUUUGGCACCUCGAUGUCGGCUCAUCACAUCCUGGGGCUGAAGUAGGUCCCAAGGGUAUGGCUGUUCGCCAUUUAAAGUGGUACGCGAGCUGGGUUUAGAACGUCGUGAGACAGUUCGGUCCCUAUCUGCCGUGGGCGCUGGAGAACUGAGGGGGGCUGCUCCUAGUACGAGAGGACCGGAGUGGACGCAUCACUGGUGUUCGGGUUGUCAUGCCAAUGGCACUGCCCGGUAGCUAAAUGCGGAAGAGAUAAGUGCUGAAAGCAUCUAAGCACGAAACUUGCCCCGAGAUGAGUUCUCCCUGAGACUUAAAGUCUCCUGAAGGAACGUUGAAGACGACGAC